GGCGCACGGCUGAGUAACACGUGGGAAUCUGUCUUCUAGUGGGGGAUAACGUCUCGAAAGAGACGCUAAUCCCGCAUACGCUCCGCAAGGAGGAAAGGCGCAAGUCGCUAGAAGAGGAGCCUGCGGCCCAUCAGGUAGUUGGAGAGGUAAUGGCUCACCAAGCCUAUGACGGGUAGCUGGUCUGUGAGGACAACCAGCCAGACUGGGACUGAGAACGGCCCAGACUCC
rnacentral:rRNA from 1 species